GAUGAACGCUGGCGGCGUGCUUAACACAUGCAAGUCGAACGAUGAAGCCCAGCUUGCUGGGUGGAUUAGUGGCGAACGGGUGAGUAACACGUGAGUAACCUGCCCUUAACUCUGGGAUAAGCCUGGGAAACUGGGUCUAAUACCGGAUAGGAGCGUCCACCGCAUGGUGGGUGUUGGAAAGAUUUAUCGGUUUUGGAUGGACUCGCGGCCUAUCAGCUUGUUGGUGAGGGAAUGGCUCACCAAGGCGACGACGGGUAGCCGGCCUGAGAGGGUGACCGGCCACACUGGGACUGAGACACGGCCCAGACUCCUACGGGAGGCAGCAGUGGGGAAUAUUGCACAAUGGGCGCAAGCCUGAUGCAGCGACGCCGCGUGAGGGAUGACGGCCUUCGGGUUGUAAACCUCUUUCAGUAGGGAAGAAGCGAAAGUGACGGUACCUGCAGAAGAAGCACCGGCUAACUACGUG
rnacentral:rRNA from 1 species